UGGAAUUCAAAAUCCUUUUACUAAAGUGCGUACAGCUCAGCAUCCACGCAGCACUGACAAGGGGCAACAUUGUAGUUUCACGAAAAUUGCGUUUCUCGAGGCCGCUUUGUACUCUUGCGAUAAAAACAAGGAACUACUUCUAAGGCGUAUGUCUACCUGAAUAAGAUACCGUUGCAUGACAGCCUGGUGGACUUUGGUAGACAUCGAGUGCUAGGAAUCAAGGAAGAUGUUCCCUUUAGUGAUACGGAAACAUUUCACUUUCCUAAAACUGACUACCGACAAAAUUUUGGCUGUACUUAGCGUACCACGUCAUCAACAUCAGACUUAGUGUCCUACGUGGCAUCUUGCGGCCAGCAUGGCACGUUGCUUUCCAACCUUUAUAUACGUUUCUGUGCUCUCUCCCCAUAGUCCUCACAGAAAACAUUUGGCAUGGAAGAGGGCGUCGUGAAGGCGUUGGACUCUGAUUACUCCGGCGACUUGGCCGGACUGUUUCCUGAGAUUCUAGCUGUGCCGGAAGGCGAUGAGUCCUUGCCGGGGUUUCAGUUCAAGGAAGAGAUGGUGGAGGAGGUCAUGCAGGAGCUGUGGAAGGAGAUAAGCUCGCCACCGGCGAGAAGACCCUCGCCGGAUUUGCAGGGGUUCGUCGUUGGAACCAGUAGGGAGAGCUGCGGGGCAUCGUUUUCUGACUCAGCGUCGACUGUGAUGGCCGGCGUUGAGAUGGCUGGUGGUGGUGGCAGUGGUGUAGUGGGGACUUCUUUGGUGGGGCUCGCCGGCCGGAGAGCGGGGAGGGCUGCGGCGGGAAAAGGGUCGGCGAUGGAGGUGGCGAAGGAGGAGUGUUACGUGCCGGAGUUUGUGGCAGUUGGUGGGGAGAGAAUGGACGGCUGUGAUGGUCUGGAGUUUGACGAUGAGUGGCUGUCGAGAGUCCUGAGUUGGGGCCCACUGGAUCUUGAUGACUGGACCUGAAGGUUCUCGUACAGUUCAAACCCUCUCCCGUACAGUUCAUAUUCUAGGCUUAGGCUUCUAGGGGCUGUUUGGCAUCUCUCUCAUUUUCCUCCUUUUUCUUUUCUUUUCUUUUCUUUCCAUUUCUCCCUUUGUAUCUUUCGUUUUCUUUUCCCACAUAUGACCAACCGCCCAUGAAGAAUUCAGUCCCAAAAAACAAAAAAAAAAAAGUGCUUUUCUCAAUUCAUCUUAUCCCUUCUCAUUAAAUCCAUAAUUAAGAAUAGUAAACUUCUAAGUUUAAUAAAAAAAAAAAUUAAUUAAGAUUAAAUCACUUCCAUCACUCUUAUCACAAAUCAAUAAUCAUUAAUUAGUCAAUAGUGAUAUUGUGCAAUCACUUUCAACAUAAUUAGAUAGUUUCAUACGUAUCUUCUAUAACCAAUUCCAUAAAAUUACCAUUUCUAAUCAUUCUUAAGCAUAUCUUUUGUCUAGUCUUUUCCAAGCAAGAAGCCAGUAGUUAGGUUUUUGAGUAUGAUUUUCUCCAAAUAUAAAGUGUGACAAGCCUUGAAUUCAAUUAAUCUAAAGAUGGAUGUAUAUGCUAAGUUUGAAAUGUGAUUUUUAAGAGAAGAUGAUUGAGAAACAUCAAGAUGGGAUUAGGUGGGAUGUAGAAGAAGAAAAAGGUAGAGAAUGGAAAUUAAUUUUCAUAUGAAUAUCGAGUUUUCUUCUUAGUUUUUCAUACAUUUAACAUGAAAAGGAUGCUUAAUUUGUAUCUUAAUGUCAAGUCAUUGUAUUUGUACCACUUAAUGGUGUGUGUGUUAAAUGCUUGAUGUUUUUCCUUUUUAGGGUUCUACUUUUAAGAUCUUGAAUUAAGGGUAUUUCUUAAAUCAUUUUUCAUCUUAUUAAAAAAGGGUUAAUUUCAUUUAUUUUCUCCUGAAAUUUUGAUUAAAUACAUCUUUUUGGUAUAAAUUUAAAAUUUAAAAAAAAAAACGUGAAAAUUAAAGAUGACAAUGGUAGAUGAAGUUUUUGAUAAAAUUUUAAACCUAUAAGAGUGAAAUAUAUUUAAUCAAAACCUCAAAGAUGAUGACUUGCUAAUUUAAGUGUGUGAUUUCGUCACCGAUUCAUAUACUUUGGAGAAUUAAUUUCUAGUAGGUGUUAAAAGCUCUUUUUUAUUUGAACUCCGUAAAUUUAUUGUAAAGGAUCGACUUUGAUGUCACUUGUCCCCACGGAUCUUAUUUGAUCAGCCAAUCUUAAGAUACGUGAACGACUUGUGCACUACGAACCAUCUGCCUUCUUCCCAUCUAGAGACAUGUAGCCCUAGUUGGGACUUAGGAAAUAGAACCCAUGGCCUCUAGCACCAUCUCACCCGCAGCCCCUAGACUCUGAUUUUGGAUUUAAGCAUCCAAACUUCAAUAAGAGAAUCUUUACUGUACUUGUCAGCCAUUGAAGACAAAAUGGCUCUUAGACUUUCCAUUUCUCUUAGAGCUAUCCAUUUUCCACAUAAAUCCUUGCUUUACCAAACAGAGACUUGGGAGUUCAUGACUGAACUAUUGGCUAUGGUAAUGGUACAAAAUGUGUAACAUUAUUUUGAUGAUUUGGACCCCUAUUGGACCCCAGAAUCUUAUUACCAUUUCCAAAUUUUCUUGCUUCCCAAACACAAAAUAAUAGUUGAAAGUUUGAAACCAUUCCAUUUUGAGAGACUGCAACCUUUUUCUACCACAUGGGCCUUUAGGGUUUGGGACCAUAGUCAUUGCCUUUAUUUUUUAGGUCAGGGGUCCUAUAAAAAGGAAGCCCUAUCUUUGUUUCACAGCCAAUGGGUCACUGUUUAUUUGCCCUUUUAAGUGCAUAUAAAGCCACCACUCACCAACUAGCUUCGUAAAACUACUUUUCCCAAAAAUAUAAUGAUAUGUUUUGUAAUUUUUUUUAAAAAAGAAAAAAUAUUUAUGUAUUAAAAAAGUAAUAAGAUAAUAUUGCUAUACAUAAAGUACUUAAGAAUUUCAUAUAUUAAUCCAUUUUCUUUUUUCUUUUUUUUUUGUUUAUCCAAAUGAUAAGAAUUCAUAAAAUAUUAGAAAAAAUAUUCAUUAUUAUUUUUAAAUAAUUUUUGAAGAUUGAAAUUUGCUAAAAACUUUGGUGUUGGAGAGUAAGUGUAUCCCAAGAUUGGGCCCCCAAAAUUAACAAAUCAGGUUUGGGCCUAAAAAUGAAAAGGGCCAGGGCUUUUGAAGCCGAAACCUUUGAUCUGGCCCAUUUGUAUUGUUUUUGUUGGGCUUCUUUUUGGUUGAAUAACCUGACGGCCCAAAUACAGUCAGCAUCUCGGGCCCAUUAGAUAAUGCAAUGUUUUUCUCUUUUCAAAAAACAUAAAUAUUUGAUAUAUUUUGGCCUCCCUUUUCUUUAAAAUAUUUUCUUACUUUUUAAAGAUUUAAAAUAUUCUUUUCAUACAGACAAUCACUUUUACAAUGAAAAUAAUUCAAAAGUAAUAUUUUUAUUUUCAAAAAUUAAUUAUUUUUAUUUUUUGAUGUCACGUUAUUUCUUUGGUGCCGUUUGAUUUUUUUUUUUUUUUUUGAAACUUAAUAUAUAAAUUGUUUGAAUUACUUUUUCAACACCAUUAAGGGUAAUCGAGAAGUAACUUACAUGUAUAUUGAAUAGAUAAUUCAAAGAGUUUAUAUAUUUGGAUUCACAAAGAAUUACAUAAAUAGUCUACUAAAUCUAAUAAAAAUACACGAUUUUACCUAAUCUGAAUGCUAAUGCUAAGGGUUUUAUAUUCAAUGAUGUAACACUUUGUACUCUUGAGUGGAUAAUCUUAACAUUGGAAUAAGUGAUUUGAUGUGCUAUGUCCUUCUAUUGAAAUGACUUGCAAUACGGUUCUUGAAAGAUCUUGAAAUGCUAGGUCACAAUAUCCAAUUUUUUGUUGGAAUGUCUAGAUUACUCUAUUUCAAACCUUAAAUCAUUGGGGUACAUGUAAGAUUAUCCAAGGAUCUUUAGAUGUAUGCAAUAGAAGCAUUUGAAAUAAUGAAUCUUAAAUCCAGGUGCUUAGAAAAUAAUACUUAUGAUUUAGAUGUUUUUAAAUCAAUUCUAAGUGAUAAAGAGGGCAAUGCAAAUCUCAAAUACUUCGUAAUCUUUUACCCGAUGGCUCAUUUUUGGACCUUGACACAUAAGGAUGGUGGAAUCUUUUCUGUAAGGAUGAAGACUAAGGUUCUUUCUCUCUCUCAAAGACUAAAUAGCAAAUAUUGCAAGUACUUGAUCCUUAAGGAGGUUUUAUAUAGUUUUUUUUUUGUAGGCUUAAGUGACUUGAGUCAAUCUUAGGCUUAGGUCACUCAAUCUAAUCCAUUAAGUCCUAAUUAAUUAAUUAGCCUUAUUGGAAUCUAAUUAAUUAAUUUGUUAAAUCCAAAAAGACAUUUCUUAAGCUCUUAUGCAACUUUGCAUAUGUAUUAAAAUGCCAUUGUUUAUACAUAUAAAUAAAGAACCCAACCAUUUUUCAAAUAAUGUAUCACCAAGGAAUAUGAGCUCAAGUGAGGAUCACUUAAACACAAAGAAAAAAUAAUGGCUCCCUCAUAAUCAAAUUUUGAAGUUAACUUAACAUCCCACUAUAGAGAAUUUAUUAUACUUUAGUAUCCUAUGAUAUUAAAUUAGGAUGCUAAACUCAGGUUCAUGACCUGCUAACAAUUGUAUGCAAACUCCCUCUGAAUUAAUGUUUAUAAUCUAAUGAAAUGAAUACUAUUAACUUCUCAAGAUUACUUCUACCAUUCUUGAGUCUAAGAUCUUUUUAUUUUGUGAUUAAUUGAUAUACUCUAACGGGUAUAUGUCAAAUUCCAUUUAAGGAAUUAUUUUAACCACAUAUUGCAUGAUCAUAAGUCCUUAAGAUCAUCUAAUGGGAUAUACUAUCUCAAACCCAUGAUAUAUCUCAUGGUGUUGAGAAAUAUAUGACUAUUUUAGGGUUUCACUCGUGGGUUAAAGCUACUGAAAAUCUUAAUACUAGCUCAAUAUUCUUUUAAAGCUAGGAAUUCAUGCAACAAAGUAACUUGAUGAAGUAAUAACUAUUUGAUAGCAAAUUUCAUAACUUAAUGCAAGUCAUGUCUUGUGAAACCAUACACAUUAGUGCACUCACCAUAAAAACCCUAUCUCAAUGGCUAAAACAAGUCAUCUAUUCAAUUGGGAGGUAGUGUAUUAAACCUAUUAGAAAAUUUUGGCCAAUCCAACCUAAGGUAAUCACCCUAAAGGGAGAGGGGAAGGGGGGUGAAUAGGGUGAUGGUCUUUUUUUGCAAAUUUAAUUUAUGAGAAUGUAAGAGAUAAUUACAUGUAAAUAUAUAAUAAAACAAUAUAAAGACAAUUGUAUAUAAAGUAAAAGAGUAGGGCAGAGAGAAUGCAAACACAAGAUUUUUAUAGUGGUUUGGCGUAACCUGACCUAUGUCCACUCUUCUCUAACUUCAAUCUCAAGCUUAAGGUUCCACUAAUUCAAGGUUUCCAAACAAAACCUUUAAGUAAUACAAUUGGAUUAUGGUUAUAAUACACUUUCUUGGACUUUGGCUUUAAGUACCCUUUACAAUCCUUAAGAGAUAUCUUUAAGUGAUAUCUCACACUUAAAUUUUUCUUCUCAAAGAUUUACAAAUAAUUUCACAAAAUCUUAGUACAAAACUUUAGACUCAAAUGUAUAAGAAAAAUUAUGAUUGAAUGGUGCACUAAUGAUAUGUAAGUUUUAGAAUAAUGAUGUACUCGAAAACACUCUUUCAAGGCUUAAAUAUAUUUAAGAAAUGUUUAGGAAGGUUAAGUUCUUGAAACAAUGAAGACUGUAACCUUUUUAUAGAGAAAAAUGACCAAACUAGCCAUUCGGGGUUUGAUCGGUUGAGUUGGGGGUCAAUUGGUUGACUACCCGUUAGCAUUUAAUGUUUGGCAGGUGAUAGUUGGACCUUGAUCGUCCCUUAAUUGGUCCUAGACUGGUUGAACAAGUGUUUUGGAAGAGAGAUAAGGUUUUUGCACCCUUUGAUCGUUUGAGUUGAAUAGAUUGAUCGAUUCCUCGUCCAGUUCAACCAGUUGAGUAGAUAAGGUUUUUGCACCCUUUGAUUGUUUGAGUUGAAUAGGUUGAUCGAUUCCUCGUCCAGUUCAACCAGUUGAGUCGUUUUUUAUUCAACAAUCAUAAUUUUCAACUUAAAACUUUUUAAACAAGAUUGGAAAGUAUUUGACACAAGGUUUUAGUUGAAAACAUAAAAUUAUCCAAUUUUAGAAGAUUUAAAACAAAAUAACUCUUGGAUGAUUUUUCGUGCAUAAAUAAAAAAUGUAAUGCAUGAAAACUUAAUACACUAACAACCUUACAAAGAGAUUCUAUGAAGCUUAGGUAUUGAAAACAUUUUUCUUCGAGGUUUUUUUUCUUCUUAUUGAUUUCCCUUUGACUUGAUUUUGUCUUUGUAAUUGUCACUUUGGAAAUCUUCUUGUCUAAUCACACUUUAUAAUCAUUAGUUCCAAACUUUGUUUUGUUAUUAUCAAAACCGAGAUUAGCCAAACUCUAGUUUCAUACAACCUUCGAUAGAUUACUUAAAUCUGUGAACUAGCUGUGAAUGAGUUAUUAACUUGCAAAGAACCCAUGACUUAGAUCUUCUGUAUAACUUUUAAUGCACUCAAGUUAUGUACAAUGCAAAUUAUGCAAAUGAUGCAAACAUGAAUGAACAACAUAAAUAUUACCUAAAUAGGAAAAAUGUGAAAAAAGAACCAAAAUCAUUAAUGAAAUUCAUUUAUAAUUAUAUUAUGUCAUACUUUUAGGGGCUUUAUUUCAUCAAUGUUGAUUUUCUUUCCUUAGUUUCCAAAGCCUAUUCUGCAUCACAAAACACAAUAAGAUCUAAACUACUUGACUUUAUGAGAUGAAGAUCCUGAUUAAGACACCUCUAAAGUAUCUAAAAAUCCUCUUAACUAUUUUCUAGUGUGACUUAAGAGACUUCUACAUAAAUUGAUAGACUUUGUUCCUAUUGAAGGCUAGUUUAAACCUAUUGAUGUCACAUAUUGUAAAGUCCCUUGAAUGCUUUUACACAACUAAACUAAGUCCACAUAUCAUAAAGACACCGACACUUCUAACAAAUGGUAUUUUAGCUUUGCAUUGCAAAUUAGUUAUGUACUCAGUCUAAGACAAAUAUAAACCUUCUAUAGUGCACUUCACUUGAAUUCCCAAAAAGUAAUCAAUGAGUUCUAAAUCCUUUAGGCCAUGUUUGGCAUGAGAGAAUAAAGAAUGAGAAUUAACAUCUCAUUCGUUCUCUAAUCCAUUCUUAUGUUUGAAUAACUAAAAUGACAAUGGGAAUAAAAUAAAAAAUGAUCCCCAUAUAAAUGAAAUCUCACUCAUAAGUGAGAUUUUAAUUGAUCUCCAAUACGAGAUAUUUUGAUUCUUUCAAUGCAAGAAACAAUAUGGAAUAUGUUUAAAUUAUUAUUUUAUCCCCUCAUUUCCAUUAGAUUUGUAUGGCUUUUUAUGAAUAAUUUUUUAUAUUCAAUAAAUAUUAUUUUCCUUAUUUUAUUAUUUAACAAAAGAAAUCUUUUAAAAUGAAAAUGAAAAUUUGUUUUAAACUUUAUGUGAGGGUAUUAUUGUCAAUUUAAUUUAUUUUCCAUUCACAUCCACAUUAUUACCAAAUGUUCCAAUGGAAAUAAAUAAUCAUUCUAGAAUUACAUUCCUAAGUGUAUUCAAUCAUAAAAUUUUGAAUCACCAAAUUCAUUCCUAUUCAAGAAAAAAUUGGAAUGAAAAUAAAAUAUUCAUUCUCAUUUCUCAUUCAUAUGUACCAAACAUGGUAUUAAAGCAAAUUGCUUAUUCAACUUUGUUAUCAAACUUUGCACUUAUGCAUCACUGCAUCCUAUAAUUAUAAUAUCAUUGACAUAAACAAGAUAGGAUAAAAGUAGCAUGUUGAGCAAUGAUUCUAACAAAUUAAGAUUGAUCCAAUCUAGUUGAUUUGAAACGUAGCAUGAUGAGGAUCAUGUGAAGCUUUUCAAACCAAGCUCUUAAAGCGUGUUUCAAACCCAUAUAGUGACUUAUGCAAACAACAUGCUUACGCUGAAUGCUCUGGAUCUUGAAAAUUACGUGGUUGCUCCAUAAAUACUUCCUAUUACAAGCCUCCAAUGAGAAAUGCAUUGUUAAUGUCCAACUAUCUCAUUGACCAACUUCUUGUUAAAGCAAUUAUGAAAAUUAGUUUAAUGUUGACUUUACAAUGGGGCUAAAAGUUUCAUUAAAGCCAAAGCUAGCAACUUGACAAAACCCUUUAGCCACAAGCAAAACCUUGUGUUAAUUAUGAAUUGUAUUACAUGAGUUUUCUUAACCAUACCUUUGAAAAUCCAUUUGUAGUCUAUCACUUUUCUCCUUAUAGGGUAAGUUAACAAAUGACAAAGUCUCAUUUCUCAUGAGAGCAAGAUAUUCAUCUCUAAUAGUAGUUUGUCAAUGCUUAUUUUGUAACGUUUCCUCAAUAGAUUUUGGUUCUCAAGCAACUAUGAAAACUUUUAGCUUGAAAAUAUCGUCGUUUAACCUUGUUACUAUGUUGUGAGUAUUACCAAACUAUGAUUUGUUUGUAUAGGAAAGAGCUAAAACAAGUUCAUCAUACUAAUAAUAGGUACUAUAGAUUCAAUAUGCUUAUUAGUAACAUUCUCAUAUGGAAUAGGUAGUUCAAAUAAGGCCUAUUUGUGAUACAUUUGGUGGAUAACCUAAAAAAGAAGGAAUAUAAGAGGUUUGAGAAGGAUAUGAUGAUAAAGAAAAAGUAGAGAAGAUAGUUGAGUGGACACAUCAAACUAGGAAAAUGAAUAUGAAGUGAGACUACUUGCUAUGUGUAUCUUCUUGACAAAGAAAAAGGAAUGCUCAUCAAAUAUUAUAUAAGAGAUAAAAAUUUUACCAAAAUCAGUUAGACAUUUAUAAUCCUUAUAAUUCAAACUAUAUUUAAUAAAAGUGCACUUAAUAGAAUGAAAAUCUACUUUAUAAUAAUUGUAAGGUUUAUUAAUGUUUGGAUAACAAAGACACCUAAACAUUUAAAUGCUUUAUUCUCGACUAUGGUAUGAAAAGAAGACUUUUGAGAUAAACUUAUUGUGACAUCUAGGGGUUGACAAUCUAUUGAAUAGAAAAACAAAAGCACUAAAUGCGUCGUCCUAAUAUUUUAAAGGAUGGACCAAUAAUAUAUAUCAAGUACUUUACACUAAAGCUACAAUAAUUCAAAAUACAAUUACAAGAGAAAGAUCGGAGAAAUAGAUCACGAGGCCUCAAAUAUUGAAGGAGUUAGAUAUUGGGAUGACAAUAUAUAUCAAAUGUCAAAAUCCUAUUAGUUUAUCAACGUAUGGAAAGAUAAUUUAAUUCAUCUCUUGAAAAAUCAAAUCCUAAUAUUAUGUUUAAUUAUGAAUAUAAUCUAAAAUUUAAAUUAUUAAAUAUUAUUUUAUUCAAUUUUUUUUAGAACAUCGUCUAGUAAUACUAUUUGAUUUUUCUAUUUUUAUUUUUAAGUUUCAUUGAGACCACUUGAUCUUGAGGUAGGGAAGAGGAGAGAGAGAGAGAGAGAGAGAGAGAGAGAGAGAGAGAGAGAGAGAGAGAGAGAGAGAGAGAGAGAGAGAGAGAGAGAGAGAGAGAGAGAGAUUGGGGGACCCUCAGCCAUUGAAGGACAAUGUCAUUUAGCUAAAACUUGAAGGCCCCCCAAGGUUAAGGUGACUAAAUUUUGAAUAUUAGGACACACAAUGCUCCAUGUUGUGUUGUGUCAAUGUCCCUUUCAUCAUCAAUCUUAUAGGAAACACGGGCAACAGCUGUGUCUCUCAACUUGCCUACGUUGCAUACCUCUUCAUCUUUAAUUUCAAUGAUCAUCAAAUUUUAUGCCCAUUUAUCUAGUCAACCGAUAUUUAUCUAUAUUUUUAUGAGUUGACGUGGAAAAUAUUUGCUUGGGUGGUGUGAAAUUCAGGAGCUUUGUGAGUCAUUCAUUGUUGUUUUAAGGGAUUAAAUCAUUUGUUUGGUUCUUUUCUGAAUGGUUUAGCAAAGGAGAUAUGUGAUUUCUAGAGGUCCACUUAAUUUGAUUAGAUAAGGCAUAGACCAAUGGGAGUUGCAUUAAUAUCUAUGGAUAAUUGUCUCCUAUAUAUGGUUGCCAUCACUUUGAAUUUGAUCACCAAAACCUUGAUUUUUUUCUUCUUGUUGAUCAGUGAACACGGGUUAGAAGUUAUGUUUAUUCAAAACACAUUAUAAGUGUUUUUCCAAUAAUAUUAAUUAAUUUUUUAAAAUUUGAAAUGUGUUUCCUUAAUUUUGUUAAACAUUUAAAUCCUUUUUAAAUUAAAAGUAUUUUUUAGAAUUAUUAUCAAACGAAAUCUUAGUUUAUUUUAUUGACAUUUAUAUUAACUUGAUAACUUUUAAUAACAUUUGGCCACUAAAACAUAAAAUUUUUAGCUUUCUUUUUAAAUUAUUAUAAUAUUUUUUUUUAAAAAAAGGAAAAUUAAUCUUAACCUACAUUGUUUUUGUUUUUUACUUAAUUUUAAAUGAAAUUUAAUAUUAAACAAUACUUAAUAGUGUUAAGGAUUAAGUCUUUUAGUUUUUCAAUAUUUUACUUUUAUUAAGUAUUAAGAAGUAAAUAAAAACUAAUAAAUUAUUUUAAAUAUUAAAAUUUUUUGAAUUUUUCUAUUUAAUAAAAAAUUUAAAAAUAAAUAAUAAAUUAAUAGAAAAUAAAAAACAAACCAUCUGAAAUUUUAAAACUAAUUGCUUUCAUCAAAAAGUGUUAAAAAAAAAAAUAAACAACAUUUAUCUUUUAGAAACUAUAACUUUAAUAAAAAUUUAGACGUAUUUUGAAAUUACAAUCUUAAUACCAAUUUAGAGAAGUAGUAUUUUAAAAAUGUGCUUAAUAUAAAUUCAAAACCCCCCUUUUAAAGCUAUCAUCUCUAAAUUUUAACAACCAGAUUUUACUUUAAACAAUCGUUUGGGUCACAUCCAAAACUUAUAUUUUGUUGGGGUAAUGGGCAAUUUGACCCAAAAUUCUAGUUUAGCAGCAAAUGACCAUAUAAUAGAAUCAAGAACUAUGUACCAUUUCAAUGUGAAAAGUUUCAUGGUUGAAGCCUCUUUAAUUCUUUGUUUGGAUGAUCUGAAUCUGAGUUGUGUGUAUAUGGAGAGAAGAAAAGUGUUGCAGAUGGGGGAGAGGAGCGUGGAGCCUUAUCCAAGCAUGGGCAGAGGGAUAUUCCAACAUUGUGACAGGCAUGAUGAAACACUACUCUAGUAGAAGACAGGACACAACUUGGGGAAACCAUUAAUGGAGCCCUAGAUUGAUCUUGAUUUUGGUCAUCUACUUUCUGGCUUCAAUGGGAAGGUUUAUCACGUGGGGAUCAUCCAAAAUUAGCUGCAUAAAUAUGAUGAAUAUUUUGAAAACACAAAAAAUAAGUUUUAAGUACAUUAAUUUUUGAAAUAUAUUUUUAUUUUUAAAAGACGUUGAAAACUGUUUUUGAAAAUUAUUCUCGAAAAUAUUAUCCAACGGCUGUGCAAAUGUGGGAAACCAAUUGGAUUGGAUCCAAGGGAGUGUGACUGGGAGUUGGAAGUAAUCAUUGCUUGCUCAUGCAUGUGAUUGUGAUCAGAAAGUACUCACCCUGAGUUUUGUAAAUGGAAGAAGCAAGCAAAUUCUACCAUCAUUCAACAUGAUUGGUUCUAUCCUGUAGCUUAAUUUGGAAAACUCUACCAUGUAUGAAAAGCAAAUCUAACCUAAUUGAUGGUCCUAUAUAUACAUAUUUGACUCGAGGUAGCCAGAUGAAAGAGCUUUUUGGUUGUAUUUCUUUGUUUGGUUAGGGGGAAAAUUUUAUCAAAAAAUGAAGGGAAAAAAGAAGACAAGGAAAGGGAAAAGAGAGAUGGGUAGCCUGUUUUUCAACUGAGAAUGAAUGGUAAAAGAGAAAAAAUUCAGAAGAUUGAUGGGAAAAGGUGUGGGGACUAAAAGUGGGCCUAUAAGUAUCACUGUCCUUUGCCUGCACAGGCAUUAGAUGCCUUUUGGCAAUACUAAGGAGUAAAAGAUGCUCCCAUGCAACCCUCUUCUCCCUCACUCCUCAUCUCCCUCAGUCAUCCACAAUCCCCCCUCUUCCCUACUACUCCAAACACCAUUUAUCAUAACAUAGUAUGAGAACAAUUCAAACUUUAUAUAUACCUAGCCCUAUUAUAACAAUGAACCUAAACCAAAUCAUUUUUUUCCUCGAUUUGAGCCAAUCCUUGUAUGUCCAUUAGGUUUUUAAUUAGCUUGAUAUACAUUGUUGAUCCAUUUUUUUUAACAAAAUAAAACUAACCAUCUUUUGUCUCUUCUUACUCUAAACAAUAUUUAUUAUUGACAGACUACGAAGACAAUUGAUAUUCUAGCUAACGGUAUUAUAAUAAACCCAAUUCAAAUCAUUUUUUAUUUUAAUUCAAGCCAAUCUAAUUAUUACCCAUUAAGUUUUUAGUUAACUUGAUAUAUAUUAUCAUAAUUCAUUUUUUAACAAAAUCAGAUUGGCCUCAUCACAAUGAACUCAACCCAAAUCCAUUUUGUGUGAUUCGAGUUGGUCCAAGUGAUACCCAAUAAGUUUUUAGUUAGCUUGAUAUAUAUUGUUGACAUGAACGGCCAUCAGAAGAUCUUGAUAUUUUACAGCAUACUGUCCAAAUAUAGGAGCCUAGGACCAACUCAAUUGCGCUUGGCUAGUAUGUAGUGCAUUGAUGACUUUGGAUCAAUGAUUGUGGGGACGAAGGAGAGCAUGUGAUGUGUAGAUUAGAUCAACCUCAAUGCAAUAAGAGAACAGCAUAUACUGAUCUGUACAUAUUUAUUGAAUUUGAACUUGUAUGAGCUAGAAGGGUGGAAAUUUUUUUAUUGCAGAUAGGGUUUUUGUCAUACUGGGGCCGAGUAGUAGCAUUCCGCACCUCCUUUUGGUUUGUCCUUUUAACUUGUUUGUUUGGGUGACAUGAAGUCACGUGAAUGGCUUUAAGGCCUCACCCUUGCACCCCUCUCUCCCAGUCCCAGUCUUCCUUAGACCCUUUGCCUCUAUUAAUUAGGCCUUUAGCCUUGUUUUUCACCUUUAGGAGACAUCAUCGAUCCCUCUCUCUUCUGAUCUCACCAUGACUCCAGUUUUUCUGAACACUUCAUCAUCUUCUCCUUUUCCUGCUCUGGAGCUUAAAGAAGAUCAUCAACACUUCCAGCUCCUUUUUAGUACAAACCCACCAUCAUACCAAGCUUCUUCCUCUCACCCAUGUCCUAGUUUCUUCAACUCAAGUACUCAAUCUCAGAGAGGAGAUCAUAGCCCUAGAGACCCCCAACAGCAUGAAGAUAAGGCAAGAACAUAUGAAUUCAUUACUAGAGUGAAAUUCAACCUUGUUUUCUGAUCUGAUAUGUAGUUUCCUUUUUCUGUUCUUUUUUUUAUAUCUGAUAUAUACAUAUUGAUCCUUUUUUUUCUUGAUCUUAGGAUGAUAAGUACAUUUCCCAUGGAGGAUGUGGUGAAAGCCAAGUAUUCUCAUCUUCUUCACUCCUGCAGCCCAUGGCGGAUGACAAUAAGAGCAGCCACAAAUUGUCGGUUUUUAAGAAGGAAGAAGGAGAUGAAGGUAAUAAAAGUACUGAGAAAUGGAUGUCUUCAAAGAUGAGGCUGAUGAGAAAAAUGAUGAACUCGGAUUGCACUACAGCGAAAAUCGAGCAGAAGGUUGAAGAUCAUCAGCAGUGGGACAAUAUUAAUGAGUUCAACUCUUCCAACAAUACUAGUAAUAUCCCAAUUAGAGUCUGCAGUGAUUGUAACACAACCAAAACCCCUCUUUGGAGGAGCGGUCCUAGAGGUCCCAAGGUUAUAUACUUACCUUCUAUUUCUUUCUGUGUUAAUUGGUUUGUACAGUACUUAAAGAUCUCCAUUAACAACAUCUUGAUCUUCAUUACUUGGCAUGGCGAUGCAGUCACUUUGCAAUGCCUGUGGAAUUAGGCAAAGGAAGGCGAGACGAGCCAUGGCAGCAGCGGCAGCAGCAGCAGCGAAUGGCACAGCCGUUGGGACCGAGAUAUCGCCUAUGAAGAUGAAGCUGCCCAACAAGGAAAAGAAGAUGCAUACAAGCAAUGUAGGGCAACAGAAGAAGCUCUGCAAGCCCCCUUGUCCUCCUCCCACCGAGAAGAAGCUUUGCUUCGAAGAUUUCACUUCGAGUAUUUGCAAGAACUCAGGUUUUAGACGAGUGUUCCCUCGGGAUGAAGAAGAAGCCGCGAUCCUCCUAAUGGCCUUAUCUUGUGACCUUGUUUACAGUUGAUUAAUUGAUAUUUCGGCUCCCCACUUCCCAUUUUUUUCUUUGGAUUAUGAUUAAGGUUUUGUCUGUGAACGAGAGUGAGUUGAUCAUUUGCUUCACCAUAGCUGAUCUCCAAAUAAAUAUCAUGGAGUAUCCAUCUUAGGCUUCAAAUAAAGCCCCCUUUUGCUGUAAUAUCUUUUUCUGCUUUACCCGAAAUAAUAGGGUUUUUUUUUGUUUUCUUCAAAUAUGUGAUGGAUGGAGUUUGAUCUUCAAACAAAAUAACGACUCCCUCCCAAUGUGGGAUUUGUGUCCCAUGCGUUUGGGAGGUAAAGAGACAGACAUCGUUACCGGAUGAACAAACAAAAGCUGACAUCGGGUAAUGAACCCUUCCAAUCCAAUGUGGGAUUUGUAACCCAUGGGAUUAAGAGGUAAAGAGACAGACACCCCUCACGGUCAAACAAACAAAGUCCCAUAUCGGGGUUGGGAUGCUCUAAUUCCAUUUGGAAUGAUCCAGUAUAGAUAUUGUUCGUACUGAAACUAAAAGAUGCUCACGGCUUUAGGAGUCUACAUAGUUAAGAAGGGUCAUACAUGUGUAGAGCCAACAACAUAUUUCACUCCCUAGUCAUGGAAUUGAAACCGAGGCCUGCUGCAUUAGUACUGGUACCCACUGCACAGACCGUGAACCAGUUCAUUAUCAGGGUCAAGACAGGCAGUAGUACUGUUAACACAUGUAAAUUAUGUGUUAUUUGUAGUUUAGGAAGAAUGCCCAAAUUCAAGGACCAUAGUACUGAAGGAGCUACAUGGGAAUUCUGUGCUCUUAUAAAGAAAACUGCAAGUCAAUGGCUAAAAUUAAUGCACUGGACAUUAGUAGCAGAGAAGAAGAUGGGAAUUAAUUAGUAGAUUGAAACCCAGUUUUGAAUUGUGGUGAUGUAUAGGUUCUGACAUGAAAUUUGAACAAAUGAAAAGGAGUUGCCAUCUUCCAAUGAUCUGUAAUUAAGUUGAUAGCAAGCUGGACGUACAGCUUACAAGAAAACAUCACAUUAUUAAUUGGAUCAGUGAUUGUGCCAUGCCUAUAUGUCAAAGAUUACCAACAGAAUCUUGAACUAAAAUGGAAGGUUCAUCUGUGAUUUCUGUCUAUGGAUAAAUUAUGUUUGGUUCUUCCAACUCCAGCCCAGAGUUUUGAAUUGCAGAAUCUUCAUGCUGAUGGUAGAACUUAGAAGUAGGACAAGAUGGUGUAGUUUGUAUAGGGAUUUUCCUGGGAAACGAACAGGCCCUCAAAAUUGCUUUCAUGUCUUAGAAAGUUGAAACAGUGUUGAUGCCCAUGGUUGUCAUGAUUCAGUCUGAUGACCCAACAAAUUAAAGUAAAUGUUGAUGUAUUCCAAAUGAUCAAGAUCCAUCAUGUUGUGCAAAAAUUGUAUAUGCAUGAUGGUUGCUGGGGAAUUAUUGGAAAUGGGCCAUGGACUUUUCGCGAGGGAUGUACGUGUAUGAGUAUUGCCAAUGAUUUAGGGCUUCAAUGGCUCAAAAGGGAAACACAGGGUUUCAUGUGGGUGGAAAAGGAAUUGCUAUGGUCUUAAACGUUGGUACAACAUUGAAUUUGGGAGGUAUUGAAUCUGAUUUUAUUAUUUAAAUUCCAAAAAUGGUUUAGGAUUUAAGGUGCUAAGCUGGUGUUUGUUUUUUUACUUAAUUCUAAAUAGAACCUUAAUGUUUAAUAGUGUUAAAUAUUAGGUUGUUUGUUUUUAUAGUAUUUUAUUUCUAUUAAGUAUUAAAAAGUAUAAAAAAUCAAUAUGUUAUUUUUUCUAUUUAGAAAAAGCUAUAUAUUUUGGUUUUUUCUAUUUAGUAAAAAGUUUAUAAUAAGUCAUGAAAAAGUAGAAAAACAAACAAUCUAAAUUCUAAAACUAAAUUGCUUUUAGUAAAAAAUCAAAAAAACAAACACCACCUUAGUAUUUUUUUUUUAUUUUUUUUUUUAUAAUCGAGGAACAUUUCAUGGCCAAGUCUUUAAGACUCUUCAUGGAGAGCCAAAUCUCAGGUGCUGUCCCGCAACAACCAAUAUCGGAUAAAUUCAAGUAUUUACCCUAAAUUAUUUAAAUUUAUGAUGUUUAUCAAUUAAAUUCUUACUAUACUUUUUGUAUAAGAUAUUUUACUUUAAUACAAAAAAAAAAAAAAUUAAAAACAAAAACAGGAUUGGAUCUAAACCAACAAUAAAUUAUUGAUUAUGAUAAACAUGUGUAAAAGCCAAAAUAAGGAUAUUAAAAUAGUAAUUAUGAUAAAUAUUUAUAAACUAUUUCUAUAAAAUUAAUUAUAAUUCAUAGUGUUUUAAUUUUAAUUUUUUUAAAUGAAUUCUCUCAUUCUUCUAUUUUAACUAAAUUCAAGUAAAUAUAUUUAUAGAAAUAAUUUUUUUUCUCUAGUAAAAAUAGACGAGAAAGAGAAAAAUAUGUAAAUAAAUUGUAAAAGAAAAUUAUUUGGAGACAUAAUACAUAACUUAAAAUAAAAGAUCAUGAUUCUUGAAAAGUCACUUUUGAAAUGCUACAGUUAACCCACCCCUCAAAUCUAAUUACUAAUAUUAAAAACUUUAAGCUUUGGGACAAUUUAUAAUGCAAUAAUAAGGAUUGCAUGUGAUGACAAUAUGCUAUUUCAUACUAGAUGAUUAUUUUUGUAUUUAUUUUGUGGGAAUAUGAGGUUGUUAUAAUGUAUCUAUUAAAAAAUAAAUUUUGAUUGACUCAAUUUUGUAGCUUUGGAAGACUCGAGAAAGAAGGGCACAGAAUUUGUUUUUAAAAUAUGUUUUCUACAACAAUUUUAAUGUGUUUUCAAUUAUUAUUUUUAAAAUAUUCAGAAUAGUAAUUAAAAAUAUGAAAAAUAUUUUAAAAACAUUUGCAUUAUGUACAACGCCUAUAUGAAAAAUAAGUCCAACAUACUGUUUUCCAUAUUUUAGUUUUUUUUUUUUUAAAUAAAAUAUUUUUGAAAACAAUUAAGAGGUUUUUGGGACUGUAGAGGCCUUGUAAUUUUCGUUGUGAGAAAUAUCACAAGCCCUUCAUUUCUUGUAAAUUAAUCAAAGCCGUUGGUUGUUUCACACCACAGAUUCCCCAAACUGAAUCCCCACCGUAGAUCUCUGGGUCCUACCAAGACCACCAACCACCAGAUCAAAGAUCUUGGCAGUGAUGUCUCAUUAAGGAUUCCAUGCUCUUUGUUACAUAGGAUCACCAAAUCAAACAACGUCUUCCCUAAAGCCCUAACCUUUUUUUUUUUUUUUUUUUUUUAAUUCAUUCAUGUAGGGAUAAGCAGAAUGUGAAAGAGAAUCUGCCAACAAAGUUUCACACUUUCUCACCCCAAAAAAUGAAAAAAGAAAAGGGGAGGUAAAUCCAAAGCGGAAAUGAAAUAAAAGUCUUGUUUUGAAUGUUUUUGGAAAUUCUGAAAUAGAAUUUGAUCCACUGAAAUUCAAUCCAUUUUGCUUCACACAUUCAGAUUUUGUAACCAUUCUAUUUUUCAACUCCACCAUUGGUUCUUGCAGUAAUGAUCCUCAAAACCCUGUCCUUUUCUCCUAGGUGCGCGCUGUCCAUCUUAACCUUCACACUCUCACCACCCACCACCACCACCA
rnacentral:lncRNA from 1 species